rnacentral:rRNA from 1 species
UACGUAGGGGGCAAGCGUUGUCCGGAAUUAUUGGGCGUAAAGCGCGUGUAGGCGGCUUGGUAAGUCCGUUCUGAAAGCCCGGGGCUCAACCCCGGGAGGCGGAUGGAUACUGCUGAGCUCGAGUCCGGAAGAGGCGAGUGGAAUUCCUGGUGUAGCGGUGAAAUGCGCAGAUAUCAGGAGGAACACCAAUGGCGAAGGCAGCUCGCUGGGACGGUACUGACGCUGAGACGCGAAAGCGUGGGGAGCAAACAGG